rnacentral:rRNA from 1 species
GACAGAGGCCUCGAGCGUUAGGCGGAAUCACUGGGCUUAAAGCGUGUGUAGGCGGAUCGUUAAGUGCCUUGUGAAAUCCCACGGCUUAACUGUGGAACGGCUGGGCAUACUGGCGGUCUUGAGCCAUCUAGGGGCGACUGGAACAAACGGUGGAGCGGUGAAAUGCGUAGAUAUCGUUUGGAACGCCAAUGGUGAAAACAGGUCGCUGGGGAUGAGCUGACGCUGAGACACGAAAGCCAGGGGAGCAAACGGGG